CACCUUGGCCGGAGGCCACACAGACCUGGGGAAAUGUUUUGCCAACGUACUCGCAAUAGUUCCCAUGGUUUCCUUUGCUCCCAGCGGUUGCGCGGGCUGGGUUUUUGGAGCAAAGGCAACGGAUACUGCUGAGGCUCCUGAGAAUGUCCCGUUUUCGAGGCUGCAGUAGCUCCGGUGUCCGGUUCUGCAGUGCCGAGAGGGAGGCCUCGGGCUCCGGGCGGGGGAAUGUGUUGCAGUUUGUCCAAGAGCCCCAAGCCCAGCAAAGCCGCCCGUUCCCCGCUGGGGCGCAACUCUCACUGGAACUCUUGUUCUCUGACUGGGGAAUGGAAUGGGCUCAGCCAAGGCUCCCGAAACCAGCCCUGCCGCUCCCAGUUGUGGUCGCAUUCUCAAGAGCGGCUGACUGCGCCGUGGACCAUCACUUUCGCUUCUGCCUGCUCUUGCGCCUAUUGCGGCAACUACUCACGCUCCUACGGGACGAGGAGAGGGAGGUGAAUCCGUGGCAGAGGAAAAUAAUUAUGAAAAAUAGUAGUCUAGUCAUUCAAGUGAAAGGUCCAAGAAAGGAAGAAAGAAAAAUUUAUCAAAAAGAAAACACAAGAAGUAUUCUGAAGAUAGCGACAGUGACUCUGAUUCUGAAACAGACUCCAGUGAUGAAGACACAAAAAUGAGAGCAAAGACAGCUAAGAAAAAGGAAAAGAAAUGCAGAUGGCCAGAUUUUUUCCUUUAAUUUUUAUUAUGGAAAAGGUCAAAUGUGUAUAAACAUACAUAGAAUGGUAUAAUGAUCCCUCAGGCACGUAGCACCCAGCUUGAACAAUUAACAACUUGUGGGAAAUUGCCAUUGCCCCCUAAUUAAUUUGAAACCAAUCCCAGGUAUAAUGUCAUUUAUAAACAAUUCAGCAUGUUUCUCUAAAAGACUGUUUUCUUUAUUAGUCUGUUUUCACACACCAUAAAGACAUACUUGAGACUGAGUAAUUUAUAAAGAAAAGAGGUAUUGAUUCAUAGUUCUGUAUGGCUUGGGAGGCCUCAGGAAAUUUACAAUCAUGGCGGAAGCCAAAGGGGAAGCAAGGCACAUCUGACAUGGGAGCAGAAGAGAGAGUGAGAAGGGGGAAGCACCAGACACUUUACAGAUAACCAGUUCUCAUGAAAACUCACUCAGUAUCAUGACAACAGCAUGGGGGAAACCCAUCCAUCCAAUUACCUCCCACCAGACCCCUCCCUCCACAUGUGGGGAUUAUAAUACAAGAUGAGAUUUGGGUGGGGACAGAGCCAAACCAUAUCAGAUACACGUUCUUUUUCUAAAAACAUAACUACAAUACCAUUAUCAUGCCUAAAAAAAUUAACAAUAACUCCUCAACUCUCAUCACACUCCAUUUUUAAAUUUUUGUUGUUUUCUAGCCUAGCAGUUUCACAUGAGGAAGACAGCAUAAAGAAAGCCAAGGUCUGACUGCUUCUUUUUGAUGAUCAAUUAAUCUAGAAUAUUAAUCAGGGAACUACCUCCUCCCUCUUGCUUCUAGCAGCACUAAACAAAAGGUUCCCUUUUUGUGUUUUUAUCAUCAGGAACCAGGGUCCUUUCAAGGAGGUUGAAUGAGACAAAAUACAUUUGAAUGCAUGAUUGUCAGCUUCUGAGCUGGGGAAUAUGCAACAAUAUGCCUUCUGGGCUGGGGAUGGGUGAGCAAAGGGAGAACUGCCUCAUUCUGGCUUUGGUAGAGUCUCCUCUUGUGUUUCAUUUGAUGCAGAGGAACUUUGGGCCAGAAUGAUUCCUAUUUCCCUAUGUCCUCCACAGAAAGGGAGGAUAGUGAACAGAAUUUGCAAUAUACUAGAUAGAUGUUUGGCUGCCACCUUCCCAUAAAGCCCUAUGAGUAGCUUCUUCGGAAGAUUCCUUUAGACUACAGGGUUGUGUCUAAGCUCUUCAGCAUAAAUGGAGAUGGGCCCUGUCUUGAAACACACUGUUCUUUUACUAGGGACUUUCCCCACCCCCAUUUUGCAUAUGUAUGUAUGUGAGCCGUACAGGGCGUAUUGGUGAUUGAGGAAUGUCAGCUCAUAAAAUGAGGCUUCCUUGUAAUUCUGUUUAAAUGACUUUUCCUUUGAAAUUCUUAUCCAUACCUUAUUUGGCACACAAAACAGAUAUACAGUUGACCCUUGAACAACACAGGUUAGAGCUGCAUAUGUCCACUUAUAUGUGGAUUUUUUUUCAAUAAAUAGAAUUGGCCCCCCAUAUCCACAGGUUUCACACCUGCAACCAAAUGCAGAUCAAAAAUACAGUAUUCGUGGGAUGCAAAACCUGCAGAUAGGUAAGGCCAACUUUUUGUAUACUUGGAUUCUGCAGGUUCAAGUGUGGGGCUUGAGUAUGCAUGGAUUUUGGUAUCUGCAGGGGUCCUGGGAACCAAUGUUUACAAGGAAUUCACAACUUUUUUUAAAUAAAAAAUGUGCCUUAUAAAAA
rnacentral:lncRNA from 1 species